GUCAAGAUCAGCAGAACCAGCAAUCCAACCCAUAGCUCAGUGCAGACUUAUUAGUCAAGACCAAAAGGACUGCAAAACCUAUCCGUAACUUUACCUCUGUCUCACCAUAUGAACAUCCUGGGCUGAUUUGCUGGAAGGAUGUGACAAAUACAUAAAGAGCUAGACCCGCCAAUUCCUGGCAGCGACCGAACACUUGAUCAGCCAAUAUUAGAAGAAUGACCCUCCCCAACACAGCUAAUGAAGCAAUGGAAGCAAGAAAGGAAUUGACUGGCAAGUGGCAGUGGCACAUCAAGAACCCUAGGAUAGGCCUAGGUACCUUUCUACUCUGCAUUGAGAGUCAUUUUCUACUACAAAAUUCUUUACUUUCUCAGGUGUACCUUCAAG
rnacentral:lncRNA from 1 species